GACGAACGCUGGCGGCGUGCCUAAUACAUGCAAGUCGAACGCUUCUUUCCUCCCGAGUGCUUGCACUCAAUUGGAAAGAGGAGUGGCGGACGGGUGAGUAACACGUGGGUAACCUACCCAUCAGAGGGGGAUAACACUUGGAAACAGGUGCUAAUACCGCAUAACAGUUUAUGCCGCAUGGCAUAAGAGUGAAGGGCGCUUUCGGGUGUCGCUGAUGGAUGGACCCGCGGUGCAUUAGCUAGUUGGUGAGGUAACGGCUCACCAAGGCCACGAUGCAUAGCCGACCUGAGAGGGUGAUCGGCCACACUGGGACUGAGACACGGCCCAGACUCCUACGGGAGGCAGCAGUAGGGAAUCUUCGGCAAUGGACGAAAGUCUGACCGAGCAACGCCGCGUGAGUGAGGAAGGUUUUCGGAUCGUAAAACUCUGUUGUUAGAGAAGAACAAGGACGUUAGUAACUGAACGUCCCCUGACGGUAUCUAACCAGAAAGCCACGGCUAACUACGUG
rnacentral:rRNA from 1 species